rnacentral:hammerhead_ribozyme from 1 species
ACGCAGCUGGCGAGUCCCAAAUAGGACGAAACGCGCGUCCUGGAU